rnacentral:lncRNA from 1 species
CCUAAGUCAGAUAGAAAUUUAGGACAGGGACCUUGCCCCGUGUGAGCAAGGAGAAAAUCAAGAGAAACGUAGUGCCUACAGAUGAUGUUUAGCCAGAUGCCUGGUAUAUGUUCUAAAAGGGUUUAUAGUUCCUUAAGGCAAUCAAUCAGUGUCUUCCUCUGAAGGGGUCAAAAUCCAUAGUCAAAAUUCUGAGAACUGACAGACUCAUCUCAUGGGGAAAAAAGCAGCUAAGGAGUUUUCCCUCAGCAGAUACUAGAUCUCAAUGUGCCUGGCUUCCUAAAACAGCUAAAGUUGAGAUCUUUGGGUUCUAAGCUAAAAGGGAUUAAAGCUCACCCUGCCUGUUACAGAGAACAGGUGACAUCUCAGCUGAGGGAUGGAGCUGAAGUCAGAAGCUGGAAGCAGAGGGAGCCUCCAUGACCAUGUGCCCGGCAAAAGAGUACCAUCCAGUGGUCACCUGAGGCCAGCAAGGAGCAUCUGCCUGAAGAAACUACGGGCCCUGCAGAGACUACGCGCUAUGGGACCAGUGAGGAGCGAGUCCAUCGGCAGCAUCGCCGACCAACCCUGCAGUUUCAGAGGACAGGUGAUUGGAUAAUAUCAACUGGAUAUAAAAGGGGAUGUGCUGAGAAAUGGGGGCCAACCCAACGAAGAGCACCUUGAAUCUGGGACCCAAGUAGAGUCUUAAAGAGCAGCAAGAAAAAAUGGAGAUGAACCCCUUUGGAACCUGUUAUAUUUCAUAGUAUUUUUCAAGUCAUAUUGUAUGCAGAGUUGGCCAAACUGUUGCCUGGCUGUUCUCCAGAACCAGCCGCAUUUUCUCUUUGGCAGCAGGACUAUGUAACUUAAUUCAAAAGGGCGGUAAUGUCCUGUUGGGAACUCAGAUGAGUCCAAUAACCAAUUAUUCAUUUAACUGAAGCAGGGAAGGAUUUAGACAUUAGGGAGAACUUACCAGCUGUUUGGGUUAUGUGAUACACUGGGAAAUAUUUACUACAAAAAGAAGUGUGGGAAAAUCUUCAUAAGAUUUUAUCUUUCUCAGAAGGUUUGAAGUCAG